rnacentral:rRNA from 1 species
AUUGAACGCUGGCGGCAGGCCUAACACAUGCAAGUCGAACGAGUGGCGGACGGGUGAGUAAUGUCUGGGAAACUGCCUGCUGGAGGGGGAUAACUACUGGAAACGGUAGCUAAUACCGCAUACCAUCGGAUGUGCCCAGAUGGGAUUAGCUAGUAGGUGGGGUAAAGGCGCACCAAGGCGCCGAUCCCUAGCUGGUCGGAGAGGAUGACCAGCCACACUGGAACUGAGACACGGUGCAGACUCCUACGGUAGGCAGCAGUGGGGAAGAUUGCACAAUGGGCGCAAGCCGGAUGCAGCCAUGCCGCGGGUAUGAAGAAGGCCUGCGGGUUGUAAAGUACUUUGAGCGGGGAGGCGUUACCCGCAGAAGAAGCACCGGCUAACUCCGUGCCAGCAGCAGCGGUAAUUC